UUGCAUGAUGAACAAUAGCUCCAAAUGCUUCAUGGUUUGAGAUAAGUAGUAAUAAUAAUUAAAAUUAAUUUCCCUGUAGAAUCCAGUGAUACAAAAUUAAUCAAAGCAAUCUUGAAAGUAGGAUAAGAUUCUUUCAUACUAUCAGGUACUUUUCUGAUUCAUGGUGAAAAGACUGGAUAGUAGAAGUAAUAAAAGUAAAAAUUAGCUCAAUGUUUUAAUCUCAGCUUUUCUUGAAUGAAGGAAGAUUAGAAUAAUGCUUACAGCUGGAUCAGAGCAGAGGUGCCUUUGAAUUUUCCUCUGUGCCUGCCACAUAAUACGGAUGCAAGUUGCCUAGAGGACGGCUAUUACCAUAACUGCAUCUGUCUUUGAUUUUCUCAGCUCCCUGACCCUUAAUAGAAUUGAAUAGACUCUGAGUGAAUGUUGACUGCUUGCCAGAUUUUGGUUGCACAUGUUCCAGUCAUUCUCCAGGACCAUGUCCAGUUGGUUAUUGCUUAUCUGUGAAUAAGGGAAAUGAAGACAUUUUUGAUUCCUUGACCAUUUUUGGCCAAUCACUUACAGCUGGAUAAAACCUUUUUGCAAUUCAAUGUUAGUUGGAUUAAAUACAUCUGGUUCAACAUCUACUAGAAAGUUUGCCUCAAGCAUGGAUUCUGACUGAGAUGUACCAAUUGGAGUACCAAUUGGAGAUUGAACCUGAGUUAAACCCCAUGCACAUGGCUCAGCCACUCACUGAAUAGUUUGCUGAAUCAUCUUAAGACUGAAGCUGCCUCAUUUUGGUUUGUCAGCUGUAAAGUCUGGUGCAACCCUUGUGUGGUCAUGCAAAGAUCCCUUUACAUUGGUAUUUGGUGUCAGCCUUGAUUCAAUAGCACCAUUUUCCUCUUCUAAUCUGAAGCCAUUUCAACAGUGAGUACAUCAUCUCAGGGAACAUUUCAAGGCUUCAUUCUCAGAGGUGGUAACAGAACUUUGAACUAAAAGACUGCUGUCUCAGUUGUAUGCUCAAGAUCCCUUGCAGUAUUUGAUGAAGCACAUAGGAGUCCCCUGGCCCCUUGCUAGAGGGUGUGUGCAACCAAUUGCUGAAACAUCUGUGAGUGAUCCCAAGAUUCAUUCUUGAAUUUGAAGAACAUUUAUUUGACACUUGAUUAUACAAGGCUGGGAAUUACUGUUUGAGAAAAUGUCUGCAAGACCUUUAUCACUGGAUGCGCCACAGAAGAAUUUUAGCGAAGACAAUGCUAAAACUCGUGGUCAGCAUAAUUGGAACAAAUCUGUUUCCUGCUGAAGAUACAAUUUUUUUCACAGAUAAAAGAAAAUGUUCAAAUUUCAUCAGGGGACAUAUGUAUGAACUCUUUGCCUGUCCCACUCUGUCCACCCAAGCUGUUGUGGUUCAUUAAGUAUGCGACAUGAGCUGCUGGUGUAACGUAUAUUGUGUUUCAACACGAAGAGGAAAACUCUAGUGGUAUGACAACAGGGAUGGACCAGAAGGUCCAGCAAGGUGUCUCAAACAAGCAAACAUAAUACAAAAAUCAUUAGGAGCAGCAAUGGUCCACACAGCCUCAGCCUGAUCUGCCAUUCGACGCUGAAUCAAAUUUCCCAGAACACACAACUUAACUGCACUCUGGCAGCAACUUUACAACACAGACAGAUAUCUGAUCAAGAGAUUCAUCAUUACUCCAUCAAGGGCAAUAAAGAGAUGGCCAAGAAAUGUUGAC